rnacentral:rRNA from 2 species
UGCUGUGAACUCGAAGAGUAGGGCGGGACACGUGGUAUCCUGUCUGAAUAUGGGGGGACCAUCCUCCAAGGCUAAAUACUCCUGACUGACCGAUAGUGAACCAGUACCGUGAGGGAAAGGCGAAAAGAACCCCGGCGAGGGGAGUGAAAAAGAACCUGAAACCGUGUACGUACAAGCAGUGGGAGCCUCUUUAUGGGGUGACUGCGUACCUUUUGUAUAAUGGGUCAGCGACUUAUAUUCUGUAGCAAGGUUAACCGUAUAGGGGAGCCGAAGGGAAACCGAGUCUUAACUGGGCGUUAAGUUGCAGGGUAUAGACCCGAAACCCGGUGAUCUAGCCAUGGGCAGGUUGAAGGUUGGGUAACACUAACUGGAGGACCGAACCGACUAAUGUUGAAAAAUUAGCGGAUGACCUGUGGCUGGGGGUGAAAGGCCAAUCAAACCGGGAGAUAGCUGGUUCUCCCCGAAAGCUAUUUAGGUAGCGCCUCGUGAACUCAUCUUCGGGGGUAGAGCACUGUUUCGGCUAGGGGGCCAUCCCGGCUUACCAACCCGAUGCAAACUACGAAUACCGAAGAAUGUUAUCACGGGAGACACACGGCGGGUGCUAACGUCCGUCGUGAAGAGGGAAACAACCCAGACCGCCAGCUAAGGUCCCAAAGUCAUGGUUAAGUGGGAAACGAUGUGGGAAGGCACAGACAGCCAGGAUGUUGGCUUAGAAGCAGCCAUCAUUUAAAGAAAGCGUAAUAGCUCACUGGUCGAGUCGGCCUGCGCGGAAGAUGUAACGGGGCUAAACCAUGCACCGAAGCUGCGGCAGCGACGCUUAGGCGUUGUUGGGUAGGGGAGCGUUCUGUAAGCCGUUGAAGGUGUGCUGUGAGGCAUGCUGGAGGUAUCAGAAGUGCGAAUGCUGACAUAAGUAACGAUAAAGCGGGUGAAAAGCCCGCUCGCCGGAAGACCAAGGGUUCCUGUCCAACGUUAAUCGGGGCAGGGUGAGUCGACCCCUAAGGCGAGGCCGAAAGGCGUAGUCGAUGGGAAACAGGUUAAUAUUCCUGUACUUGGUGUUACUGCGAAGGGGGGACGGAGAAGGCUAUGUCAGCCGGGCGACGGUUGUCCCGGUUUAAGCAUGUAGGCGGAGGUUCCAGGUAAAUCCGGUACCUUAUUAACGCUGAGGUGUGAUGACGAGGCACUACGGUGCUGAAGUGAUAAAUGCCCUGCUUCCAGGAAAAGCCUCUAAGCAUCAGGUAACACGAAAUCGUACCCCAAACCGACACAGGUGGUCAGGUAGAGAAUACCAAGGCGCUUGAGAGAACUCGGGUGAAGGAACUAGGCAAAAUGGUGCCGUAACUUCGGGAGAAGGCACGCUGAUAUGUAGGUGAAGUCCCUGCGGACGGAGCUGAAAUCAGUCGAAGAUACCAGCUGGCUGCAACUGUUUAUUAAAAACACAGCACUGUGCAAACACGAAAGUGGACGUAUACGGUGUGACGCCUGCCCGGUGCCGGAAGGUUAAUUGAUGGGGUUAGCGGCAACGCGAAGCUCUUGAUCGAAGCCCCGGUAAACGGCGGCCGUAACUAUAACGGUCCUAAGGUAGCGAAAUUCCUUGUCGGGUAAGUUCCGACCUGCACGAAUGGCGUAAUGAUGGCCAGGCUGUCUCCACCCGAGACUCAGUGAAAUUGAACUCGCUGUGAAGAUGCAGUGUACCCGCGGCAAGACGGAAAGACCCCGUGAACCUUUACUAUAGCUUGACACUGAACACUGGUCCUUGAUGUGUAGGAUAGGUGGGAGGCUUUGAAGCGUGGACGCCAGUCUGCGUGGAGCCAACCUUGAAAUACCACCCUUUAAUGGCUGGUGUUCUAACGUAGACCCGUAAUCCGGGUUGCGGACAGUGUCUGGUGGGUAGUUUGACUGGGGCGGUCUCCUCCCAAAGAGUAACGGAGGAGCACGAAGGUUGGCUAAUCCUGGUCGGACAUCAGGAGGUUAGUGCAAUGGCAUAAGCCAGCUUGACUGCGAGCGUGACGGCGCGAGCAGGUGCGAAAGCAGGUCAUAGUGAUCCGGUGGUUCUGAAUGGAAGGGCCAUCGCUCAACGGAUAAAAGGUACUCCGGGGAUAACAGGCUGAUACCGCCCAAGAGUUCAUAUCGACGGCGGUGUUUGGCACCUCGAUGUCGGCUCAUCACAUCCUGGGGCUGAAGUAGGUCCCAAGGGUAUGGCUGUUCGCCAUUUAAAGUGGUACGCGAGCUGGGUUUAGAACGUCGUGAGACAGUUCGGUCCCUAUCUGCCGUGGGCGCUGGAGAAUUGAGGGGGGCUGCUCCUAGUACGAGAGGACCGGAGUGGACGCAUCACUGGUGUUCGGGUUGUCAUGCCAAUGGCACUGCCCGGUAGCUAAAUGCGGAAAAGAUAAGUGCUGAAAGCAUCUAAGCACGAAACUUGCCCCGAGAUGAGUUCUCCCUGAGACUUUAAGUCUCCUGAAGGAACGUUGAAGACGACGACGUUGAUAGGUCGGGUGUGUAAGCGCAGCGAUGCGUUGAGCUAACCGAUACUAAUGAACCGUGAGGCUUAACCUU